CUUUUGCUGGCGACCGGCGCACGGGUGAGUAACACGUAUCCAACCUGCCCUUUACUCGGGGAUAGCCUUUCGAAAGAAAGAUUAAUACCCGAUAGCAUAAUGAUUCCGCAUGGUUUCAUUAUUAAAGGAUUCCGGUAAAGGAUGGGGAUGCGUUCUAUUAGGUUGUUGGUGAGGUAACGGCUCACCAAGCCUUCGAUGGAUAGGGGUUCUGAGAGGAAGGUCCCCCACAUUGGAACUGAGACACGGUCCAA
rnacentral:rRNA from 1 species